GAAAAAUAAUUAAAUUUCACUACUCCAACUGUUACAACUGUGAUGACAUAUGAUUUGAUUAUAAAACAAGAAUAUAAAAAUAAGAGAGAAUGAAAUAAGUCUUGAGCAUAUCAUUUAUGGUUAGAAUAACAGGACUCUUCUCACAUAAAAAUUACUGAGCUCAGAGUAAGCCAAAGUGUGGUUCGGUGAGCCUCGAAGACGAUCUGAGCGGUACCGUUACAUUAAAGUUGAGGAAGCCGGGCUCACCUGAACAGCAACAACAGAAGCAGAAGCGAUAUAAUACCUACCUACAUCUCUCGCCACGAAUUAACGAGAAGUGUGUGCUCUCAUCGUACUUACUAGUACUCUACACCCGUAAUCUCAAACAGCAACAGAACCAGGGAAGUCUACUAGUGUAUAUAGUUAUUGAUGUUCAGUGUAACUCUUAGUCUCUCCACACACGGUACUCUGAUAUAUUUCUUCGCUCGGUUCCUACAAUCUAGUCUGCUCAGUGACGUGCUCAAGAUUUAAGCGCAUUCAAGGUAAUCUUCGUCUUGGGAACUGAUAUAACCGCUCAUUGUUUUAAGAUAUCUAUUGUUUGUGAUUUAAAUUAAAAUAUCAGUGUUGUGAAUUUAUUUAACUAUUUAUUUACUUAUUGAGUUAAGUACUUAUUUUUAUUAGACAAUUGAUGAGUUAAUAUUAUCCAGUGUUGAAUUUUAUUCUCAUCUGCUCUAGUUCCGAUUGCGAACAAUGUGUGAACGGCUUUAGUGAUUUUAAUAACAUUAAAUCUCAUGUGUUUUUUUCUAAGUGACUGUUUUUAAUUUUUCACUCAAUUUACAGAUAUAUUUAUCAUGGAAUUAUGAUAAUCUGAUGAUCUUUAAUAAAAUCGAUAAAUCGGAAGACGACCUUCGAGAUGACUUUAGGCCGAAAAAAACUGAUAAAGUAAAUUGAAUGAAAUGAGAUCAAUGAUGUGUUCAGGCAAAGCGGAAGUGACUCCACCUCUUAAGUAAUUCCAAAUCGUUAAUAUCUGUAAUUGAAGAAGUAAUACCAGAGAAAGGUGCCUCGUGGCUACAUACGUGAAGAUGUCGUGCUUCGAAGGAGGUUUCCGGCUGAAUGACGCAGUAUCUGAGUGCUCGAUGAGAAGCAAAGCUAGGAUCGAUUCAUUAUUCGACGACACUAGGUCAGUAUGCAGCUCGAGCUACGGAGACGUCUACGGAAGCAUUUACGGAAAUCUGGGCGAUGUUAAUCUCGACGAGCAGAAAAAAAUAAAUGGCGCCGUCCAGGCCCGGAUUGAGGCCAUGUUUGCAUCCGUCGAGGCUGAAGCCGGUGAAAAGGGUGAAUGCGCGGCCGCUAUCUUACCGGUGAAAUAUCUAGGCGCAGCGCCAGUGGGAGGGAGAAUUGCAAGUGUAAGAGGACUCCAGGAGCCACUGAGGCAAUUAUUGGAACGCAUGGAAAAUAUUGUGUCAGCGGAACUAGAAGUAUCGAGGCGUGGUCUGACAUUCCGAACAUCUGGAUCCAUUGAGAAGACAAAUCCUUUCCGAAGAAUAGCGGUCUGGAGCGCUUUGAGAUUGCGUGUAAAACGAUUACUACCUGACGCAUCAUCAGAAGUGGCGCCGAAUGAGUAUCACCAUGCAUUUAUCCCGCUAAUUGGCGACGAGCAGACACCUGGCAGUGAAGACAAGCACGCUGACUUGUAUCGUACGAUGCGAGGUCUUGCAACAGAUGUUAACCGGUACCCUCCGCUUUUUGCCGUAGUAAUGAGACGUCCCGGAGCAGCGAGAGUACUCGAGUGUCAUGUAUUUGCCUGCUCAAGCGAGGAAGAAGCUGUUGCUGCCGCAGCAACGUUGUACCGAGCGCUAUUAGCUGAUCUUGAUUCAAAUCGCAGACGUCCUAGGCAGACCAAUGGUCUGGGUUGUGUCAGUCUGGCUUCCGUGGCUUCCAGCGUCGCUGAUUAUACCUCGAUUGCAAGUAAAAAUACUUACAAUAAUUUUCCUGCUAAGGUAUCGGCUCCUCAUCCUGUCAGACCACCGAGAUCCAAGAAGAAUUCUUCUUUGUCAGGUUCUACGACGGAUGGUGGGUCUACCAGGUCAGUUAUUAUUAAUAAUGGCAAAGUUGCAAGGCGUAAAAAGACUUCGGAGAUCAGGUCUGAGGAUGUUGCUGAGGCGAGAAAACGACACAGUCUGAUGAUGAAGGAGAGAAGUGUUUUGAAAGAACUGAGGGAUGAUUCUGUAAGAGAAAAUAGCAGAGAAGUAAAACGAAGAAAUUCUAUUAAUAGAAAUAAUAAUGAGGGUGUUAAUAAUUUAAGGAAUAAAAUUUAUUCGGGUGAAGUUCAGGAAAAAAUUCAAGAUGAAAAUGAAGUACACUCGAGAAUGAUGAAUAAUUAUGAAAAAAUUCAAAGGAAAGAUAAGGGAGGGUUUGGUGAAGGGAGAGAGAAUAAUUAUUCUUUUAUUGAGAGAAAUAGUAAUAAUAUUGUUGGAGAGGUUUUUAAUAUGCCAGAGGCUCAAUUGUAUGAGAGAAAUCAGUGCUCUUAUGAUUUAAAUAAAAAUAGUAGCAGAAAUGAAGUUUAUGAUGCUCAUCGAGGUAAAAAGGAAAUUUGCCAGGCUAAUAAAUGUAAUGAAGACAGCUCCAAGAGCUGUGAUAAUUCUAUUUACGGAAGAAGUACGCGUAAUUCUAGAAAUAGAAGCAAAACUUAUGAAGAUCAUUUUAAAGAUGUUGAUAAAAUUUACACUCUGAGUCAGGAGGAUGUUAAGAUUCCUGAGCAGAAGAGGAGUAGUGUAGCGAGUUCAGUUUCUUCGUGUCGUCAUGAGGUUAUUAAGAGCGAUAGAGGAAGAGCUUUGAAGAAAGACCAGCUGGAUCCUAGGCGCAAUAUGAGGAAUCAAGAGAGUGUUUAUGGCGCGGGAAGAAUGCAAAGAGUCUCGAGGAUCGAUGAAUUUUCGAAGAAAGUUUCUCGCUCUUCGGAUGCUUUUACCUCGGAUUCGAGUUAUCCGAAAUGCAGAAAGAGAGACCGUGCUGGUAGCGAACCUCCGAUUAGUAGAACUGAAAAUGCGGCUAAGAUUAGCCAAGGUAUCAAACUUAAACGAUCUGUCAGUGAUAUCGAGGUCGAGAGAGGUGAUUUAUUGACGAGAGUUGAGCUACCGAGACGUGGAAGUUUUUUGAAAUCAAACAGCACUAGGUUACCUACUAAUGUUCAUGGUGGUACUCCAUUGGGAUUCACGGAACUGUUUGAUGAAUUUCGAAAUCAAGAAGGAUUAACUAGUGUCGAUGAUAUUCUUGAUGUUAUUAUUGAUCCCGAAGGAAUGUCUUUCAAUGAAUUAAAACCUCUGUACAAAGAAUUUCUAUUGAAGCUGGCAUCAACUUUAACUCAGGAUGAAUUAUACCAACGGUCAGCAAAUAUAAUGAAACGUAGACGUCGCCCACAGAGAAGAAGAUCAACGCGUAAAUCUUGUCUUCUCGGACGAGCUAUCAGAAGAUCUGUUUCUAAAUUAAAAACUGGACCAACGGAGUUUACAUCAGUGAUAUUUCCAGCGAAGAAAUUCAACGAAAGUUUCGACAGUAGUUCAUCUUGUGACAUAAGAAAUAGCCGAAACAGAGUUCUCGCCAGUAGAUUAAGUCGCAGAAAACCCUCGUGGAGAAGAUCAUCAAAAGUAGCCAACUCCGAGGACAGUGAUACGUGCAAACGUGUGACUCGCAGCGCGGGUGCAAAUCGCAGCAGCAGCGGGUACGUGAGUUGCAGUGAGUGUAGCUAUGACUCGGAAUCAUGUACAUGCGUAUCUGCUGACAAGUGUUAUUGCUCACUACCGCGAAGAUCUCCUGGACAAGAACUGACAGCUGUCAAUAAUCCGGUAAUAUGUAAUUGCGAUACAGACAGCUGUUCUGAAAGUAACAAAUGCUAUUGCGCGACGAGAGCCGUCACUCAGCCUACUAUCCUAGAACAGCUAAGACAGCACGGUAUAAUUCCAUCAGAAGGUACUCUCAGUAGAGAUUGUAGUCCGGAGAGAGCGAGAAUAAUAAAAAAUAGCAGAAGUCAUUCAUCUUCACAGAGUCUAGAAUAUCAUAAGAUGCGUCCAUCUCCAGUGAGAAGUAGCUCUGACAAUUUAGCACUGGACUAUGAUUUAUUCAGCCCUGGUAAAAAAUCUCAGCAGGCAUCAAAGUCAAAGAAUGAGAAAGUACUGGUAGUUAGUGCUAGAGACCCACAUGGGCGGUUAGUUUACGUCGGUGGUAGCGAUAGAAACAAAAAAUCAUUCUCCAACGGUGUGAAUCGAACUAGAGCUCAUCAUGAGGCAUUGUCUAUUAAAAAAUCAGCUGAAAUAGCAGCAGUCUUUGGACCAGAGUCUGUAAGAAGCUGCAAAAGAACCAGCAGUAUCUCAAGUAUGAGAAGUUCUGUCAGUUUAGAAGCUGGUUUAGGUUAUUUACCUUGAAGACUUUUUAUUACUUUUAAAACCCACGGGUAAUUAUAACUUUAAUUGUUGCAAGUAGUGUCUAAUUAUAUAUCAGGGAUAUUUGCAAUAUUUAAGACUGUUAUCAACUUUUUUAAUCUGGCUCCGUUGCCAUCGUUUUAAAUAAAACCGCUAUUGGAUUGAAAAAAAA
rnacentral:misc_RNA from 1 species